GCGGCCGCCGAGCACAUGGACCCGCUGGUCAAGCGGGCUCGGCAAGGCCAGGAUGAAGAGAAGCUACGAACUUAGCAUUCCCAGAGCCCCCCGAGUGGAUAUCCGCGUGGAAAGGAUGUUGGCAGCCCCGGUGACCUCGGAGUCACGGCUGGAUCCACCCUCUUUAUACCCUUUAAGCGUUCCAGAAGGAUUUUGAGAUCCUUUCCUAAAUCAAAGGUGGAAUAUUUGGGGAUUUGGAAAAUUGAGAUGAGAAGCAUUGACUUAAGAGAUGCCAAGUAACUCAGCAGAUGUCACACAGACGAUAAAUAGCAAAGAUGGAAGUCUUCAUGCCGGAGGUAAUCCUAUAAGACAGCUGAGUUCUGCAGAGCUGGAGACAGACUUGCUCAGGUGAUAGAUCCAGCCAUGAUACUGACCCUAAGAGAAUGAGACACUCUGCAGAAGACAGAAGAUUCCUGAAACUGGGAAAGGUGCCUAGAAAUCCUAAGAAGAGUGAAGAAGACUCGGCUCUCCAGUGUGGUUUUCCAACAGGAGUCAAAUAUUAAAGGACAUGAGCGUGUUGGGGAAAAAGAUGGGUGGUGCUAAACAGCCUGAGUUGAUCCUCACUAUCCUCUUCAUAAGGAGAGCAAGAAGAACCCCGGAAAUGGCUCAUGCUUAAGGUUUCUAACUACGGUCACACCUACAACACACUGAUUGACAAUAUAGGUUACAGCACACA
rnacentral:lncRNA from 1 species